rnacentral:rRNA from 1 species
CCUACGGGUGGCAGCAGUGGGGAAUAUUGCACAAUGGGGGAAACCCUGAUGCAGCGACGCCGCGUGAGUGAAGAAGGAAUUCGGUAUGUAAAGCUCUAUCAGCAGGGAAGAAAAUAACGGUACCUGAGUAAGAAGCACCGGCUAACUACGGAACAGCCGCCGCGGUAAUGCGUAGGGAGCAAGAGUUAUCCGGAUUUACUGGGUGUAAAGGGGGCGUAGACGGCAGUGCAAGUCUGGCGGUAGAGGCGGGGGCUCCACCCUCUGACUGCUCUGGAAACUGUGCGGCUGGAGUGCAGGAGAGGUAAGCGGAAUUCGUGGUGUAGCGGUGAAAUGCGUAGAUAUUAGGAGGAACUCCAGUGGCGAAGGCGGCUUACUG